rnacentral:lncRNA from 1 species
UAUUACAAUUAUAGAUCGAAGUAAUUGCAGUAUUGAAUUCUACUGAAGAAGAAUUAGAAACAUUCUAGUAUGCAAAUCUUUCACUACCAGCUGAUAACCAACCUCGUAUACUAGAUAUCAUUGUCAAUGGUGAAUCCAAUAAUAUAACACAACAAAUUCCAGCUGAUAACAUACAUACGCAAGAAACAACUAUAGGCACUUCAACUAGAAUCUGAUCUACUUUUUCUGAAAGCUCAAACUAUGUAACUAAAGAAGAUAUAGAUCAGAUGUUCAACAUAUAUAGACAACAAGUAGUGUCAGAUGUAUUUAGUUUCUAUGACGGAUUAAAAACACAAAUGAUUGAAAAAUCAACAAAAUAAGAAACUCGCUAUCAUACAAUUCUUGAAACGCAAGAAGACUACCAAAUGAUUUUUGACAAUAAAAAACAAUUCUUUGAACAUCAGCAAAAAAGCCAACAAGACUACUUCCAUAGCAUGCAAUCUUAUGUGGAUACCGGUUUCAACUCAGCCAAAUUUUACAUUGAUGAACAAAAUCAAAGUAUACAGAAUCAGUUAUCCGACUGAAAAUCACACAUGGAAACGAUUGUCAGCUCUAUACGACGAGAUAUACCUCCUCGUACAAGUCGAAUUGACUUCGAAAUUCCUUCAACAUCUAAACAUAUUGAAGACGUGGAAAGAUCGGUGAAAGAAAAAAAAAAGUAAGCAAAAAUAGACACAAUCUUCAUCAACAACGCCAACUAAUAUUUUAGAAGACCAUAACAUCGAUAAGUACAAAAACAUUAGAUAAUGGAUAUUACAAAAUCCAUCAGGGUAAGAUAUUUAAUUUUACGUUGCUAACUUAAAUAUUAUAAUUUGUUUUUUACUCAUUUAAAAUUGAUUUAAAUUAUGUUAUACAGCGCAUAUUGGAACGAUGGAAUUGGCAAUCUAUACAAAAGACAAUCGCCAGAAAAUAUACUAGAUGAAACAAAAAAUAUAAAUAUUGUGGUAAGUAAAAUUUAAUAAUCAUAAUUCAUUUUUCUUCAUAUAUCUAAUUUACAUUUUUUUUACUAGCAUAUUGAUAUAGAAUUAAAGCUAUUGAGAAGGCUUAUUACCGUCGGUUCUCCCCUGCUUUCUAAAGAAUAUGCAAUCAUGGACCUUAGAUUCGAAACUGAAUGUGGACCUUAGAUUCGAAACUGAAUGUGUUCAUUGGUAUACAAAUAUGAAAGAAGGAAUUGGCCAUUCUGCAACUAAUUUCAAUGCAUUACAACGAUAUAUAAAAGGAGAAUUGCCCGUAUCAGCUCGACCGUGAAUAACAUACAACUAUUUAUUAAUUCCAUCAGCAUAUCCAAGCAACACUUGGUUUCUUUUUCUUGUUGAUUUUCAAAAGUGAAAAUUUCAUAUAUAUGAUUGCAGCCACAACAUUCAUACAUCGGAAGAAAUCAAAGCACGUGCAGAAUCGGUAUUGACUAUAGUAGAAUCAUUAUUAAUCUCUGCAGACAUUUUCUCCAUAUUUUAUAAAGGAGCAAAUUAUGAAGUCAUAUUUUAUAAAGGAGCAAAUUAUUGAAUUUUGAUGAUGCUUAGCAUCAAUAAUUUCUCAAUAAGGUUGGUAAAUUUAUUAAAUCGCUUGUUAUGCUUUUUCUCACUUUUCCAAUUACACAUUUAUCUAUUGCAUUAAUUAACACUUUUAUUAUUUUAACUCUAUGAUAAAGCUCAGCUACAAGAUGUCCUCGGCCAGGUCCAAAAGAGGCAAAUUUGUUCUUCAAAUUGAAGACACUAGCUUAGAGAGAUCAACUAAGGCGUCCGAGGACGCAAUGCUUUAUGAUCUUUCCUAGCUGGUUGUGUAACCUUUUGUUUCUUUUACAAAGUUGAUAGUGAUGAUGCUGGAUUCCUUCUAUUUUUCGCCUUCUUUUUUUCCUUUAGUUUGUAAUAGGUUUUAAAUAUUUGUUUAAUUUUUUAUUUUGUGUUUUUAUGGUUGUAACUGAAUUUACUAAAGAUGUUUCAACCUUUGUCUGACAGGAAGGAUUAUUCAUAAGAACCGGGCAGUUCAAUUCAAGCCCAAAAUCCAAAUCAGUCAUUUCUUGCUACUUCAGUGCUUCGUGAAUUCCAGAUUUAAGAAGCUCAUCCUCCAUUUAUAUUGUUGUCAGACAACAUUGAAGUUUUUUGUCCUUAUCACUAACUGUGUGAAUUAAUUUUUUAUCUCUGCUUGAAAACAAAGAAUUUCUCUGUUUACUACAGGAGUUCUAAAUCUUUUAUCAUAAUCCUUGUUAGCUGUUCACUGUUAACUUGGCCAAUUGGAGCGACUUGGAUGGCCAAAAAAUGACACAAUUAGCAUUGUGCAUCAUCACCAGCAGCAGUAUAACUAGAAUGAUAAGAAAAUAAAUGGUGAAAAUGUUGGUAGUGAUGGAUUUAAAAGAGAAGAAGGAUUUGGAGGAAAGAAAUGAUUUCCGAAUUAAAAUCUGAUCACUCAGGAAUUUGUGCAGUCCUCACUUGGGGGGAGUUACCAUAGACAGGAAACGAUGUCUCUUUCUCUGUCAAAAUUGUUGAUUAGUGAAAAGAAUGCUUUAGGCAGAAUUAUCGCGGAGUGGCCCAAAGGUUAGAUUGCUUCGUUAAUUUUUUUUUCAUUUAUUUCUUAAUUGAAGAAAUACUUAGUUUUUAUAUGAUUGGAAAUUAAUUUAAUCGUAAUUAAUUACUACUACUACUACUACUACUACUACUACUAUUAUUAUUAUUAUUAUUAUUUUUUUUUUUUUUACAGCUAUAAGAGAAAAUGUUAAAUGACUAAUUAUAAAUUUUUGACUUUGCAGUUUAAAUAAUAUUUUAUUUUCUCUCGGGAAAAUGUUUCCCUUUGAAUAGAUUAAAGAGGAAUAAAUGGGUGUUAAUGUCCAUUUGAGAUUGACUAUACAAGUCAUUUCUGCCUUACAAUUUUACUAUGAUCUUUCAUAAAGUUUAUGGUUUUCAUUUAGAUUUCUUUGCUUUAACGGCAAGUGAAAGAGUUAUUUUAUUUAUUUUUUAUCUAUCCUAUUGAGUGGGUGCAGUAAUUACUCGAGCAAGUUAGACAUCAUAAAGUAAACGUUGAUGGCAAUGUUUGCACUGUGAUGGUGACAAUUCUGGUUCUUGAGGUAAUCUUCUCAUAAAAUUUUAGUAAUUGUAAUAGAUAUGUGAAUCACAAUAUUCAUGUAAUAAAAUUUUUUAUUCGGUCACGAGAUUAGUUCUAGAAUGCAGCUAAAGAAUCACUACGUAGCAUUUUCAUAUCACUAUUACUGGAGAGAAGAAUAGUAGGAGUUUUGUUAUAUUUUCAUUUUCAUGCUGUUGACUUUUUUAAGCUAAUAAAAUGGCUCGUUUAUGGAAACUGGGGCAUGAUCAAUGCUAAGGAAUUUAUUCACAUAGAAAAUAUGGUAAGCUUCUGUGCACAUUAUUUAUGUCUUACAUGUUUGUUGUUAAGAUUCUGAUUCAUUAUAUAAGUUAUUUUUUAUUUGUAGCCAUAUGAUAAUCAACAACACAUAGGCUUUUUCAUUCUAGAAAAUGAGUGGGUUUCCAUCUACGAACAAGCUAAAACUGCUGUUGAAUUGAAGUUUAUGCUUGAAAAAACUGCUCAUGCAUCUGUUUUGGCAAAUGGCAAGAAGCCGCUUGAAAUAUUGAUAGUAUCUCACCCUCCAUGCAGGAAGAUAGUCUGAAAAAGGCUAUUGGAAUUGAACUAGAAUUUCCUAAAAAUGUAUUAUUUUGUAAGGUUUUCCUUUUAUUUUUAUGAUGUUAUAAGAUCAUUGUCAUAGUUUCUAAUAUGGUGAACUUAGGUAGAUUGAAAAUUCAUUUGAUGAGAUGAGUGAAAAAUUGGCCGAUGCAAAAGUUACAGCAAAGACUCAAUUGGCUGAGGCUCAAAGUGUGAUGAAAAAUGCUCAAAAGAAGUUCAUGGAGGCAGAGGAAAAUAUGAUGAAGAAUGUGACUAAUGGAUAGAAACUGAGUGUGUUAAUAAUUUUGCUCCUUUAAAGUUCUGUUUUGGAAUAAUGCUGCAAUAAUGUGCUAAAGGUUAUUUCUCAUAAUUUGCUUUGCUUAAGUGCAGGGAGGAAAACUACUUAAAAAGAUGGACUCUAUUGCGAAGGAUAUUGUGCAACUCGUAGCUUUGCAUCGUAUGAAGUGACUUGUCAUGAAAGCAGCAACUAAUAAAUAUUAUUCAAUAUAUAAUGCUUUUUAAAAAAAAAAAUCUUUACAAAGAACUUUAUCAUCUAGAAUAACAGCAGCUUUAUUCUUCAAGAAUGUGUAAUUUGAAUUAAUCCAACUGCAAUAAAAAUUAUUAUUAGUCAUUUCUCAUAGCUAUAGCCCAUAUAAUCAAGGCAAUUCUUCAUUGGUUAUAGCAAAGCCUAAAAUGGCAUAACAAAAAAAGUUUCUCUUGCUUCAAAAAUUAACAACUCAUAUAGUAAGAGAAUGCUUUUUCACAUUCACGAAAAUGUUAAGUUUUGCGAUAUCUUGACCAUUUCUCAACUGGACUUGACCUGUGGUACGCUGUUCAUGAACUCAAAAGAAAAUUCAUUUCGGAUUAAGUGGAGAUUCCCAUUUAUGUACACAUUUAAAAUUUUUUUGUACUUAUUUUUUAUUCGAAUUACUAACUAUAAAAUAUUUGCUACAUGCAGGUCGAACCAUGGAAAGCUUAUCAUUGUGGAUUACAACAUAUGCUUUAUUGAAGGACUAGAUUUAUGCUUUGGCCGAUAUGACACAACUAAACACAAAGUAGGUGAUUUCCCUCCUUUUCUAUAGCCUGGAAAAAACUACUAUAAUCCAAGGUACAUAUUUUUUUUCAUUAAGACGUGUAAGAUCUGUAGGCAACUAUUGAAACUUGGAAUUAAUAACAAAGUUCGAUCAAUUGGAAUAUAUGAAAUAUUUUAUGUCAACAUCUCGAUAGUCAAACUUCAAUUGGUUAAUAGAUUUAAUCACAAUGCUACAUCUAUUUUCAAUUUAGUGAUUCUUGAACCAUAUGUUACAAAUUUCGAUAGUGAAUAUAAAACAUAUCAUAAAUAGAGAAAUCAUAGCAUCGUCCCAUUAAUAGACCUACUAGGUAAGUAACUAAAAGCCAAUAAUAUUAAUCAGUAUUUUUGGUCGAGGCUUGAUUUUCUUCUCAAUAGGUAGAAGAUAUGUAGAGCACUCCAGUAUUUUUGAUAUAUAUAUUAACUCCUUUGAAUUUUAUACAGAACCGAAACCAAAUUCUUCGCAAAAUGCCGUGAAAGAUGAAUUCAAUCAAAAGAAAUUUUCUUGUAUACCAUGACACGAUAUUCAUUGUACUCUUUGAGGAUCAUCUUGUAGAGACAUUGCCUUGCACUUCAUUCAGCGUUGGAACCAUGAAAAUGUUGGACUUUCAUACUUGUUUCUAGCUCGUGAAUUUUUUUUUAAUAAACAGAAAUCACCAUUACUUAUGCAACAACACCACGUGGUUUUAGCUUAUUAGAUGGGAAGAAGCAAAGUAAUAGACAUUAUAAAGAUUUUGAAGUGAAACACAAGGACAUCAGCAUGAAGGAUUAUUUUUCAUGAAAGUCACUUCCAGAAGAAGUUCCAUUGAUUCUACCUCCCGAAUCAAAUGGACCAGAAAUCAAAAGUUGGCAACAUCUAUUUCAAUCAGUCUUUUUUAGAAUUACUGAUUGUUUGAAAACUUUAAAUGUAAAACAUUCACUCUAUGGAUAGGGGAUGUUCUGGUUUACUUAAAUUAAUUGCUGAGUAUCCAGGAUUGAAAAUAUAGAUUGUUCAAUUAUUCCUUCAAUUAUCA